rnacentral:tRNA from 1 species
GGGCCCGUAGCUCAGCUUGGUAGAACUCAUGGCCGAAAGCGACCGGCUCAUAACCGGUCGGUCGAGGGUUCAAAUCCCUCCGGGCCCA